CGCGGCCUAUCAGCUUGUUGGUGGGGUAACGGCCUACCAAGGCAUCGACGGGUAGCCGGUCUGAGAGGACGAUCAGCCACACUGGGACUGAGACACGGCCCAGACUCCUACGGGAGGCAGCAGUGGGGAAUAUUGCGCAAUGGGGGAAACCCUGACGCAGCAACGCCGCGUGUGGGAUGACGGCCUUCGGGUUGUAAACCACUUUCAGUGAUGACGAAAAUGACGGUAAUCACAGAAGAAGCUCCGGCCAACUACGUGCCAGCAGCCGCGGUAACACGUAGGGAGCGAGCGUUGUCCGGAUUUAUUGGGCGUAAAGAGCUCGUAGGCGGUUUCGUAAGUCAGAUGUGAAAACUCAGGGCUCAACCCUGAGACGCCAUCUGAUACUGCGAUGACUAGAGUCCGGUAGAGGAGAUUGGAAUUCCUGGUGUAGCGGUGGGAUGCGCAGAUAUCAGGAGGAACACCAACGGCGAAGGCAGAUCUCUGGGCCGGUACUGACGCUGAGGAGCGAAAGCAUGGGGAGCAAACAGGAUUAGAUACCCUGGUAGUCCAUGCCGUAAACGUUGGGCACUAGGUGUGGGACCUUCUAACGGGUUCCGUGCCGUAGCUAACGCAUUAAGUGCCCCGCCUGGGGAGUACGG
rnacentral:rRNA from 1 species